AUUGAACGCCGGCGGCAUGCUUUACACAUGCAAGUCGAACGGUAACAGGCCGCAAGGUGCUGACGAGUGGCGAACGGGUGAGUAAUGCAUCGGAACGUGCCCAGUCGUGGGGGAUAACGCAGCGAAAGCUGCGCUAAUACCGCAUACGAUCUAUGGAUGAAAGCGGGGGACCGUAAGGCCUCGCGCGAUUGGAGCGGCCGAUGUCAGAUUAGGUAGUUGGUGGGGUAAAGGCUCACCAAGCCAACGAUCUGUAGCUGGUCUGAGAGGACGACCAGCCACACUGGAACUGAGAAGCGGCCCAGACUCCUACGGGAGGCAGCAGUGGGGAAUUUUGGACAAUGGGCGCAAGCCUGAUCCAGCAAUGCCGCGUGCAGGAAGAAGGCCUUCGGGUUGUAAACUGCUUCUGUACGGAACGAAACGGUCCUGGUUAAUACCUGGGGCUAAUGACGGUACCGUAAGAAUAAGCACCGGCUAACUACGUGCCAGCAGCCGCGGUAAAAC
rnacentral:rRNA from 1 species